ensembl:vault_RNA Vault Vault RNA
GGGCCAGCUUAGCCUAGCAGUUACUUUGACUCUACAUUUGCAGAAUCGCUAAUUGCUUAACGGCAGUUUGAUACUCUGCGGGCGCUGUCUGGCUUUAUU